UUCCCAUGCCGAACACAGAAGUUAAGCUCUUUAGCGCCGAUGGUAGUCGGACUUACGUUCCGCAAGAGUAGGACGUUGCCAGGC
rnacentral:rRNA from 1 species